rnacentral:tRNA from 13 species
GUCCCCUUCGUCUAGAGGCCUAGGACACCUGGUUUUCAUCCAGGCAACAGGGGUUCGAAACCCCUAGGGGACGCCA